rnacentral:rRNA from 1 species
GAUCUGCGGAAGUCACUGCUAUUGGGAUUCGACUAAGCCAUGCGAGUCGAGAGGGUUCGGCCCUCGGCUGACGGCUCAGUAACACGUGGAUAAUCUGCCCUUAGGUGGAGGAUAAUCUCGGGAAACUGAGGAUAAUACUCCAUAGAUCUAGGAUGCUGGAAUGCAUUUAGAUUGAAAGCUCCGGCGCCUAAGGAUGAGUCUGCGGACUAUCAGGUUGUAGUCAGGGUAAAGACCUGAUUAGCCUACGACGGAUACGGGUUGUGAGAGCAAUAACCCGGAGACGAUAUCUGAGACACGAUAUCGGGCCCUACGGGGCGCAGCAGGCGCGAAAACUUCACACUGUGCGAAAGCGCGAUGAGGGAAUCCCAAGUGUUUGCUCGUAAGAGUAAACUGUUUCUUUGUUUAAAACGCAGAGAGAGUAAGGGCUGGGUAAGACGGGUGCCAGCCGCCGCGGUAAUACCUGCAGCUCAAGUGGUGAUCAUUAUUAUUGGGCCUAAAACGUCCGUAGCCGGUUUAGUAAAUGCCUGGGUAAAUCGUGUAGCUUAACUAUACGACUUCCGGGUAGACUGCUAAACUUGAGACCGGGAGAGGCUAGAGGUACUCCUGGGGUAGAGGUGAAAUUCUGUAAUCCUAGGGGGACCACCAGUGGCGAAGGCGUCUAGCUAGAACGGGUCUGACGGUGAGGGACGAAGCCCUGGGGCGCAAACCGGAUUAGAUACCCGGGUAGUCCAGGGUGUAAACGCUGCUUGCUUGAUGUUAGUUGGGCUCCGAGCCCAACUAGUGUCGGAGAGAAGUUGUUAAGCAAGCUGCCUGGGAAGUACGGUCGCAAGGCUGAAACUUAAAGGAAUUGGCGGGGGAGCACAGCAACGGGUGGAGCGUGCGGUUUAAUUGGAUUCAACGCCGGA